rnacentral:rRNA from 1 species
AUACGUAGGAUCCGAGCGUUAUCCGGAUUUAUUGGGUUUAAAGGGAGCGUAGGCGGGAGAUCAAGUCAGCUGUGAAAUGUAGAUGCUCAACAUCUGCACUGCAGUUGAAACUGGUUUUCUUGAGUGCGUAAGGGGCAGGCGGAAUUCGUCGUGUAGCGGUGAAAUGCUUAGAUAUGACGAAGAACUCCGAUCGCGAAGGCAGCCUGCCGGGCCGCGACUGACGCUGAAGCUCGAAGGUGCGGGUAUCGAACAGGAUUAGAUACCCUGGUAGUCCGCACAGUAAACGAUGGAUACUCGCUGUCGGCGAUAUACGGUCGGUGGCCAAGCGAAAGCGUUAAGUAUCCCACCUGGGGAGUACGCCGGCAACGGUGAAACUCAAAUGAAUUGGCGGGG